GUGCUCGCUCGGGCAGCACAUGUACUAAAAUUGGAACGAUACAGAGAAGAUUAGCAUGGCCAAUGGGAAAAAAAAGAAAGAAAAAAACUGAAGAGGUAAAUGAUUCA